UAACGGUCCGGAACGGGCGCUAAUACCGCAUACGUCCUGAGGGAGAAAGUGGGGGAUCUUCGGACCUCACGCUAUCAGAUGAGCCUAGGUCGGAUUAGCUAGUUGGUGGGGUAAAGGCCUACCAAGGCGACGAUCCGUAACUGGUCUGAGAGGAUGAUCAGUCACACUGGAACUGAGACACGGUCCAGACUCCUACGGGAGGCAGCAGUGGGGAAUAUUGGACAAUGGGCGAAAGCCUGAUCCAGCCAUGCCGCGUGUGUGAAGAAGGUCUUCGGAUUGUAAAGCACUUUAAGUUGGGAGGAAGGGCAGUAAGUUAAUACCUUGCUGUUUUGACGUUACCAACAGAAUAAGCACCGGCUAACUUCGUGCCAGCAGCCGCGGUAAUACGAAGGGUGCAAGCGUUAAUCGGAAUUACUGGGCGUAAAGCGCGCGUAGGUGGUUCAGCAAGUUGGAUGUGAAAUCCCCGGGCUCAACCUGGGAACUGCAUCCAAAACUACUGAGCUAGAGUACGGUAGAGGGUGGUGGAAUUUCCUGUGUAGCGGUGAAAUGCGUAGAUAUAGGAAGGAACACCAGUGACGGA
rnacentral:rRNA from 1 species